rnacentral:lncRNA from 1 species
AUGCAUCUGUACGGGCCUCUGCUUGUGGAUCUUCUCCUUCAUGUUGAAGAUUCUCUUCAGGCAUGAGAAUAGACCUUUCAGUUACAAUUUAUUUCUAUAGAAUAACAAAAAGUGCUCAAAAAAAAAAAAAGGAAUGAGAACUCCUGCUUAUCUAGGCAGGCAUAUGGUGGAAAGGAAGAAGUAGAGACUGGAGAGAGAUAGCACAGAGGUCAAAGCACCUCUGCUCUUUCAUAGAACCUGGAUUUGGUUCUCAGCACCCAUAUCAGGUGUCACACAACUGUGUGAACCUUUAGUAUCAGAGGCUCUGAUGCGUGCUUCUGGCCUUCAUAGGCUCCUGUAUGUUCUUGAUGCAAAUAAAGUCAGGCACACAAAACACCCACAUAUACAUCACCACCACCACCAUCAUCAUCAUCAUAAUCUUGUUUUAUUUUCUUCUAGAAAGCAUCUUACCAUGCAGCUCUGGCUGUCUUGGAACUCACUAUGUAGGCCAGGCCGGCCUUGACCUCAUAGAGAGCCAUCUGCUCUGUGUCCCGAGUGCUGGGAUUAAAAGUGUGCUUCACUACUGCAGGCUAUAAUAAUAAAGCUUUAAAAUAAGAAUACAUGUAUGUUUCAAAAUGCUUUGUGUAUUUUUGUAAUCCUCAAAAUAAUCUUAUGAGAUGAUGACCCCAGUUUCCUAGAGAGGGAAAGAGAGACAUAGAAAAAAAAGGCCACUCACAUCUAGAAAUGGCAACUUGAGGAUCAAAUCCUACAUUCUGGCUCAAUUUCACACUUUUAAUCAUUUGUGCUAUGUGUAGCCAGCCAUAAAGGUUACUCUGCACAUUGUCAAACUGCAAAAUGUUGUAGAAUAACAGAAUAGAAAUUACUCAACCCUUUCUUCCAUCCAGAUAUUGAUCUGAGAGACGAAGGGGUAACACAGGAUUUGAUUAGAGCAACCUCAAAGAUUCCAUUUUUGUGCUAAGUCCCCUAGGAUUUAAACAGAUACAUCUGCUCUGAGAAGUGAGACUUGAUUCUGUCCCUGUGGGACUGAGAAGAUGGUGAAGCUGAUAUGUGUCACUAAGGAUCAUCAGGAUAGCCACAGAACACCGGUGAAGAAUUACAAAUCUCUGUGCAGGGUCCAAUGAUUCUAGGGCGAAUUGUUUGGUUCUGUGGGCUCUGAGGUUGUUUGGUUCUGUGGGCUCUGAGGUUGUUUGGUUCUACAGGCUCUGGGUGUCAUAUGCCUUCUGCGGAGGCCAGAAGGGGUGGCCAUAAAAGUCAGCCACCCACCUACUAGAGGCAUCUCCUCUGACCUCUGCCUCAUGUGGAAUUUCUUUGUGACUCUUGAUUUCAGCUCUGAUCUUAUGGCUAAGCUGUUGAUCUUCCUCUCCUGCCUCUUCCUCCUACCUCGCCCUGCUCCUCUUGGCAGGAAUUGUCUGGGGUGCAAACCUCCUCCCAGCUAUGUCCUUCACCUGUCUUCUGGAAUCUCCUUCCACAGUGAUUCUUCCAGGUUGGGGUUGAAGGUCCUUUUCUAGGACCUAAAUUUAUCAUGAACUUGUUAUAGAUGUGUGUUGACUUUGGACAAGCUGCAAAGCUUCAAAUGGUACAUCUCCUCAUCCCAUUAUUCUCUGUUUUUAUUUUUAAGAUUUAGUUUUUCAUUUUAUGUAACAUUUCUCACAUUGAAAAUGAGGCUCCUGCAUAAACAUUAAUGUUUAUUUCAGCAUUUUUAUAUUGGAUUGCUUCCUGAAUUCGAUUACCUUAUCUAUUAUGACUACAUAGCACUAUUUUGGAGAGAUGCUAUCAAUGUAUAAAUAUGUAAUUUGAAAACAGUCUUAUUUCUGAAACCUACUAUUAACACUCUUACAGACAUUUUUGGCUUUUUUUCCCCAAAGAGCAUUCCUUUAUUGAGUUUUUGUUGCAUAGAACUUAAAAUUCUCCAUCUGCCUUGGUCUCUGCUACAGAAUUCCCCUACUGACGUUCAUUCCUUGAUUUGAAGUUCUCCAGCUCAGCAAUUUGCUCAUUAGAUGCCAGCCAUACUUGUUUCCUUGGUAUUAUUUUUAAAAACACAAAAACACUACUUAAAAGUUUGAUGUCAGUACUGCCUAUGGAUACCACUGCUUAGGAGUUUUGGUGUGGGGCUACUUUUAGGAGCCAUGGAAUGGAUUCUGUUCUCAAAGAAAUGUUCCCUACACAAUUUCUCCCUUUGAAAAAGAGUGAACUUCCCUAUCUUACUGAGAUCUGAUCCCAGUGACCUAGGAAGGGAAGCUAGCAGUUUGGAGUGUUGCUGACAGAGUGAUUGCAGAAGACAGAGAUGGUUUCAUGCAGUCACAUACAUGAUCAUUUCUAUUUUGGGUCUUUAUAAUCACCAAAUUUGUGAUUUAUUCAUGGACUGACUGGUUGUAAACUACAUGAACAGAAUGAGCAUUUAUAUAUUAUGUGCUGUACCAUAGAAAUGAUAACCACAAGAGCCAUUAAAAUAAUAGUUGUGUUUUAUAUUUGUAAAAUACAAACACAGUUAUAAUUAUAGACUAUUUUGUUAUAUAUAAAUAUAAACAUAUAAGGUUAUGCAAUUAUGUAAUAUUUAUAAUUUAUACACUGCAUAUAAUUAUAGGUUCUAUAAUUAUAAUACUCUUGUUUGUGUAAUCUGAGUUUUUACAUGUUUAUUCUAUUUGUGUUUGUAAGAUUUUGAGUUUAUAACUUGAAUAGGAUAAUUAAUUUUUUUCUUCAAACCAUAUUUGUCAUUGGCCCAGAAUCAAACUUGGCAAAAUUCCUUUCUUUUAACCGUGAAGAACACUCCUAGCUGCUAGUAAUGUGGAAUUAUUGAAAGGGGCUUAAGGCCUUCAGUGUGUUUAGGAGUCUUGUUCAGGAAAUGAGUAACAUGCAUUUAAAACUGUAAAUACACUCCUUUUUUUUUCAUUUUUCAGAUGAAAUUUUCUUUUUUCCUCUCUUUCUACAAAUAGAUCGUUUUCUUAUACAAUAUAUUCUGAUUACAGUUUUCCCUCCCACUAUUCCUCCAAGUUUCCCCCACCUUAUCUCCCAGGCAGAUCAAUCCGGUUUUUGGUCUCUCAUUAGAAAAGAUCAGGCUUCUAAGAGAUAAC